rnacentral:lncRNA from 1 species
AGAUUACUGAAGGCACAGCUCCAAGUAACUCGCUUAAUUGCAUUCCUGGGACAAAAGAGGGAAGCGCUUCAAAGCUGAUGGACAGAUGGUAGAGUGUCCAGUCACAGCAAAGCAGGCCCCGAGGCUCAUGACAGACAACUCGGGGGCUGAGAUCUCAUUUGUAGUUCUGGGAUAAAGUCCAGGGUUUGAUGGCAGCAGGCUGACGUGUAAAGAUGCUCAACAAUGCACACCCCAGAGACAUUGAAUCGGAAAAGCUUGGAGUGAAUAACAAUCUGGAAAUGAACUCUGUCUGCCUAUUCACCAUUCCCCCUACAAAAAAUUCCUAUAUUCCAGAUGGUGUUCAAGUUCCCUUUCCCCAGGACCUCAGUAGUCAGUCAGGGAGGUACUCCUGCAAUCCAUGUGAGGGAAGUUCACCAUGCUCACAUGGGAAUGCAGUAGAUUGCCAAUAGGGAUGCCACACCUUUGCACUUCCUCAUAUUUCCAGAAACAAAGCUGAGGUGCCCAGGAACUGCAGUAGUUUUUCUUCUGUGUAAAAUAAGCAAGGAGGACUCUGCCCCACUGCACUCCAGGGAAGGAUUAAGAGAAUUGAUAUCAUCCAAAUCAAUUGGCCCUGUGCAGAUGACUUGAUAAUGAGGCCAUUGAGUUUUUAUGGUUCACUGUUAUUGCUACAAAAAUUAUGCUACAGAAAUCAUUCAAAUGCUCAAAAAGGAGCAUUAGUAGGAAACAGCGUGCUCCAAAGUUGUUGCUGAGAGGUGUGUAAUGUUCCUGAAGAUCCCCGAGGUACUAAGACUUCUGUGUACAUGAAUGACUCAUAGAGAAGAAAUGCACCAGAUGAAAAUAUAUGGAGAAGUUUGCCGAAGGUCAUAUAACUUAUUUCUGUUGUUUAAAGAAGUAAACCGCUGGGCGCAGUGGCUCACGCCUGUAAUCCUACCACUUUGGGAGGCUGAGGCAGGCAGAUCACUUGAGAUCAGAAGUUUGAAACCAGCCUGGCCAACAUGAUGAAACCCCAUCUCUACUAAAAUAUAAAAAUUAACCUGGCAUGGUGACACAAGCCUGUAAUCCCAGCUACUCAGGAGGCUGAGGCACAGUAAUCACUUGAACCCAGAAGGCAGAGACUCCAAUGAGCUAAGAUAGCGCCACUGCACCCCAGCUUGGGCGACAGAGCAAGAGUCUGUCUCAAAAACAGAUAAAUAAAUAAACCUUUAUUUUCUUGUUUCAUAAAUAAA